UGCGUAGGCGGCGUCAUAAGUCAGGGGUGAAAGCCCACAGCUCAACUGUGGAAUUGCCCUUGAUACUGUGGUGCUUGAAUCAGGUUGAGGUAGGCGGAAUGUGGCAUGUAGCGGUGAAAUGCUUAGAUAUGCCAUAGAACACCGAUUGCGAAGGCAGCUUACUGGACCUGCAUUGACGCUGAGGCACGAAAGCGUGGGGAGCGAACAGGAUUAGAUACCCUGGUAGUCC
rnacentral:rRNA from 1 species